rnacentral:rRNA from 1 species
CUAUACAUGCAAGUCGAGCGGACAGAAGGGAGCUUGCUCCCGGAUGUUAGCGGCGGACGGGUGAGUAACACGUGGGUAACCUGCCUGUAAGACUGGGAUAACUCCGGGAAACCGGAGCUAAUACCGGAUAGUUCCUUGAACCGCAUGGUUCAAGGAUGAAAGACGGUUUCGGCUGUCACUUACAGAUGGACCCGCGGCGCAUUAGCUAGUUGGUGGGGUAAUGGCUCACCAAGGCGACGAUGCGUAGCCGACCUGAGAGGGUGAUCGGCCACACUGGGACUGAGACACGGCCCAGACUCCUACGGGAGGCAGCAGUAGGGAAUCUUCCGCAAUGGACGAAAGUCUGACGGAGCAACGCCGCGUGAGUGAUGAAGGUUUUCGGAUCGUAAAGCUCUGUUGUUAGGGAAGAACAAGUGCGAGAGUAACUGCUCGCACCUUGACGGUACCUAACCAGAAAGCCACGGCUAACUACGUGCCAGCAGCCGCGGUAAUACGUAGGUGGCAAGCGUUGUCCGGAAUUAUUGGGCGUAAAGGGCUCGCAGGCGGUUUCUUAAGUCUGAUGUGAAAGCCCCCGGCUCAACCGGGGAGGGUCAUUGGAAACUGGGAAACUUGAGUGCAGAAGAGGAGAGUGGAAUUCCACGUGUAGCGGUGAAAUGCGUAGAGAUGUGGAGGAACACCAGUGGCGAAGGCGACUCUCUGGUCUGUAACUGACGCUGAG